rnacentral:tRNA from 1 species
GGGGCUGUAGCUCAUUGGGAGAGUGCUUGCCUUCUGUGCAUGAUGCCCUGGGUCAAUCCCCAGUACUGUCA